UUUCCGUAGGUGAACCUGCGGAAGGAUCAUUAAUGAGUUGUCAUGGGGUUCGAUGCUGGCAGCCAAUUUUUGGAUGCAUGUGCUUGCCCUAACAAUCAUCUUCCAAACACCUGUGCACAUUUUUGAGGGAGUCUUGAGUUGGUUGCCGCUCUUGGGUGAUUUUCUCUCAUUCCCUUAAAUCAUUAUACGCUAUUAACAAUGUUGAACGUGCUCUGUGCCGCAAGGCUAUUAAUAUAAUACAACUUUUAACAACGGAUCUCUUGGCUCUC
rnacentral:misc_RNA from 1 species